rnacentral:lncRNA from 1 species
CGCUCGACCCCUACUCAUCCUACGCAAAGCCCCCAUGACCUCAUCCGCCCUAAUGCGCCUGCAGUACCCAAGGUCUCUAUGCUGCUCUGAAUGCACCAACUCCUCUAGCUCUAUGUUACGAUCCCCCUCAUCGUUGAGUAAGUAUCGAAAGUACAUCUGCCACCUCUGCUUGACUUGAGACUCCCCCAUCAGAACUCUACCAUCCUCGCCCUUGAUGCACCUAACCUGGUCAAGAUCACACGCCUUCCUUUCCCUUGCUUUAGCUAACCGGAAUAACUUCCUGUCCCCGCCUUUCUCCCCUAAUUCCUCGUACAUGCGACCAAACGCCGCGUUUUUUGCUUCCGUAACCGCCAUCUUUGCUUCUUCCUCGCC